GGGCCCGCACAAGCGGUGGAUUAUGUGGUUUAAUUCGAAGCAACGCGCAGAACCUUACCAAGACUUGAAAUCCUAGGAAUCCCGAGUAAUGUUGGGAGUGCUCGCAAGAGAAUCUAGUGACAGGUGCUGCAUGGCUGUCGUCAGCUCGUGUUGUGAAAUGUUGGGUUAAGUCUCGCAACGAGCGCAACCCCUAUCUUUAGUUGCCAGCAUUAAGUUGGGCACUCUAGAGAGACUGCCCGGGUUAACCGGGAGGAAGGUGGGGAUGACGUCAAGUCCUCAUGGCCCUUAUGUCUUGGGCUACACACGUAAUACAAUGGUGCAUACAAAGGGAAGCGACCUGGUGACAGCAAGCAAAAUCUCAAAAAGUGCAUCUCAGUCCGGAUUGGAGUCUGCAACUCGACUCCAUGAAGUUGGAAUCGCUAGUAAUCG
rnacentral:rRNA from 1 species